AACUAUUCAUUCAUUCAUUCUCUAAUUGCUCUGUUCUCUCUCUCUCUGAUAAUAAUAAUCUCAUUCUUUUCUGAAAGCUCUCUCUCUCUCUGAUUCAUUCUUCUUGCUGUUGUUUCGUUUUCAUGGAAUCACCGCGCACUCCGAUUUCAUCUCCGCUCCCAAUUUCCAUCUUCAUGGAAUCACCGCGCACUCCGAUUUCAUCGCCAUCGUCCCUCUCGUCGGUAACUCCUUCACCUCGCACUCCUCUCUGUGAAUCUCCGAUGAUGGAUCAUACUCCUCCGAUUUCACCUCGCACUCCGAUUUCGUCCCUGUCGUCGGUAACUCCUUCACCUCCUCGUGCACCCAAAAAAAGCAAUAAGCAACGAAGGAUAUAUUCUACCCCGAUGCUACGCUUAAUGGAUCGAAUCAUUCAAGAUGGUGAAUUGUGGUUGCUUGAGUAUCGAAGGAAUCAGAACACCGCUCAACUCAUCGAAAACGAGAGAAAGAGAAAAAUCAAAAUUUUGAUGUCACUUCGAUGAUGAUGAUGAUAGUAACCCAUUCUCUCUUAUUAUUCCUUUUCAGACAUGAUGACAUAUAUAGAUAGGUGCUUUCUAUAUCAAAAUGGGUAAGGAAAAAGGGUAAGAUUCCAUUGUUAUUUUUUGACAUAAUAUAUAGAUGCUUUCUAUAUGGAAAUAGGUGAGUUCAUUGAAACUUCCUCCUUCUCAGGCUCGUUAGUUUUCAAUUUCAUUUCCAUAAAGUUUUAAACUUUCUUCUUUCUAGGUUAUAAAAAUUGUGUCUUUAGUUAUGUCGUUUUAAUUUGGGUAAUUUCAUUUAUCUAUUUUUUGUUUCAGAAAAUGUGGUUUUUGUUUAUUUGUUGUAUUCUUUUUGUUGAUGAUUUAUGUUCUUGAUUGUGUUUUGGUGUUUGGACUUUUGACUAAUUUGUUGGUGAUCUAUAUAGGUUUCAUUUUAUGGAGGUAGGUAUGUAAUUUUUUUAUCGGGUUUGUGGAGGUUUGACACCGCCCGCCAAUGGAUGGUACUAACCAAACAAAACUUUCAUCAAGUUCUUCCUAGUUUCAACUGUUUCAUCUUUGACUGAGUUUCUAUUUUCUUUUAUUAUGCAAUUGUGAUUAAUGAUAUGUUGGAGAGAAGAUAUAUUUUUUUGUGUUUGUUUGAAUCCAUAACUACCUUGAUUGUCAGAGUCAAUGCAGGUACUACAGCUAUUGUAGGAUAAAAAUCAGUCUCGUCUCUUCAGGUCAUUAGAGAAAGGAGCAGAAGAUACUAUAAGAGGCUGAGAGGGUAAUCAUAUCUGAAACAGUUCUAGUUAUCGUUAUUGAAGUUCUCAAUGGAUACAUUGCUUACCUAUGUUCUGGCUUCAAAAUAUCAUUGCAACAGAAUAGUGUGAGUAAAAGGAAGAAAAUAGGACCCUGAUGGAAAUGGCUCGAUUCUUGGCUAUACGAGAAAAGUACGCCUAAGAAGAGUUGAAGAAGAAUAUGGACGAUGCUUAGUUGGAUGCUUAAUUAAGGUGCCUUACGUCAGGCUGUUAGCAUCUUUUCAAGAUUUCUGCAUUAUGCUAGUGAGGAGCUUCUCAAUGUAGCAACGAGUGUUGAGAUAUAAUAACAAAAUGGGUAAGGAAAAAGGGUAAGAUUCGAUUGUUAUUUUUUGACAUAAUAUAUAGAUGAUGCUUUCUAUAUGGAAAUAGGUGAGGGAAAAUGGUGAGUUAUUUCUUCCUUUCCAUUGUUAUUUUAUUUUAUUUGUUUGAAAUUGUGAUAUGAUGAUCUGUUGGGGGGAGAAGGAGAACAUCUCAUCUCAGGUAGGUAUGUAAUUUUUUUUACCAAAAUCAUUUUAAAUUCAUAACUAAUUUGAUUUGAUAGUCGAAGUGUCUUUGCAGGUAGAACAACAUUGCUAUGCUUGUAAGUGGGAUAUCAAUUUAUUUUUUGCCUCUUUUGAUCUGGUUUUUAUAGUAUGAAAAAUGGUAACUUUCAAUAAUUGUUUGCUUGUGCAUGGUGUCAUUUACAAGGCCAGAAACUUAAUGGUAUUUAAAGCCUUGAAGGUAAAGCUCUGGGGCUGGAAGAUGUGUUUGAAAUGGUAAAAAUAAGGGAUUUGAGUAUUCAAUAUCACAAUGGUGUUUAAAUCCCUUAGGUUGUAAUGAACAUAUGUAUUUUUAAUAAAGGGAAUGGAGAGGUUGACAGUAUGGAGAGGUCAUGUGCAGAGAGAUGGUAUUUAGAAGGAAAUGGAGAGGCAUCUAGUUUUUACAUUUUUGCUUUGUUCAACAAAGGUAUCAGGUGUUGGGCGAAACAUCUGUAAAAUAUUUAUGUUUUGACUAUGUUUGGAAUUGUUUGCUAACUUGGAGGCGGGCAAGUAUGGAUGUUGAAUCAAUGAGGCUCAACUGACAUUAAAGAGAGUUGGUAUGGGCAAGUAUGAAUGUUGGUUCAAUGUCUGCAUCGCAAGUAUGAAUUUGUUUAGUGAAGGUUAAAAGUUUUUCAUUACACUUGUUGCAAUGUGAGGGAGCUGCUGUUGUAUAAUUCACUGGUCUUGUUAGCAAUUUUUCAACGUAACUAGAAAUAGAAUGACUUUUAGUAUGUGUUGUUAAGUAGGACUUCCUAACCAUAUGUUGUUCCUUUUCCCUUUUCAGUGACUUACCAUAAAUUUCAGUGUCAGUCUUUAAAGCUUAUAAAAGUGUGUGUUGGUAAUUCGAUCUUCUGUUAAAGUCCAAAAAAGUUUACCCUUACGUUUAGUAUUAAAUAGUUUUUACUUCCUUUACAACAACAAUGUUAAUAACAAUGGAUGCCUGAGGUUGUUUCUUGAAAUAGGAUGAGGCUGACUACAUAUGUUAUGUACUAAUUUGUAAUGGCGAUGGAUAAUAAUACUCACAUUCUGAAUUUUGUUUCAGGCCGCCAAGGGAGCAAUUAUUGGUGACAAUUUCAUUGUAUUAGAUUGUGAUGAUCAUUGCUAUAAAUUUAGGGGACCAUUCUGCACGGAUAUAUGUGCUCAUGGACUGUGCUUCUGUAGCUUUAGUGAGUUUUAACAAAGCUCAUAUUGGAAUGCAUUUUUAGUAGUUAAUGGAGAGAACUCUCUGAUGGCGAGAGUGGAAACUAUCCUCUGUCUACCCUAUGGGGAGCUCCAUCUGGUCUCCGACCUAGCUAUGCAUAGAGGAGUGUCAUUGACAUGGGGGUCUGCGAGAACAUUGGAAAUUGGCAGAAGGUGAAAAUUUGUGUGACAAUUGACUUCUGGGCCAGGCUGGGUUCAUGGUGUGGAGUCAUGCUUCAAAUUUAAAUUAUGGUACCUUUGUGAGUUAGGUACUCAAUGUUGAACCAAAACAGUAGAAAAGAGGGUUGUUUUAAUGCCUAUGGAACUCAACAAAUCUUGAACAUCCCCAUUUAUUGGAGACAAGAUGUCUUGGCCAGGGGAAAGAGAUAGGAACUACUCCGUUAGAUUAACCUAUCAUUUUAAUGGGUUAGUUGGGAAAAAGUUUGUAAGUAGGAAAAGACGGGGAGGGGCUGGGUAUAAAACAAUUAGAGAUCUUUCAACUUAGCUUUAUUAGGAAGUUUAUAAAAUUGGGGAGAUUUCAACUUAUCUAUUAGGAAGUGGCUUUGGCCUUUGGAGAUUCAAUGUGGAAAAAGUGUCUAUUUGGUGGUAAGAUAGUGACUUGUAUCAAUGUGAGGGGGAUGUGAUGCAGGAAAAUCUAUAGUGCCGACUGCUGAGUUGGUAAGAUAUUGACUUGAGAAUUGCCUUGGAAACCUUCUAUAGGCACUAAAGAUAUCUUUUAAAGCGAGGAGUCGGAGGCAGGUACAUGUCUGAUCGGUUGUGGUAAAGAAGAGGAUGUUAACAUCUACUUUUUGAAUGUUCAAUUAUGUCGAGACGGUAAUGAAGUCAAUAAUCAUGUUGCACAGUUCUCAUGAUUAUUAAGGGUUGGGGAGACUGUAAUGUAUAAAAGAGGAAUCUCAUAAUCUGGUUUCCAUGUGUAUGGGGUGUAUUUUGAAGGCAGGAAAACUUACUGGUUUUUGAAGGUAAUACUUUUGGGAUGGAAGAUAUGUUUGAGUAUUCAAUAACACGAUGAUGAUAUAUUGGUAAUAAAAGUCAGAAUGGAGUUGGGUUCAAAUAUCUCUUAAAGUGUGCUUCAAGAAACGGGGUUGACUGUUGAGAGUUCAAGUUCAAGACAAUCUUGUGCUUACUUUCGAUUUACUUCCAUGUACUGCUAAUACUAGGUUAAUCCUCCUCUGUCAUGGCUUGAAUUUGUAUACCUUAAUUUUCUGUCCAGUCACAAGAAAAUCUUUCAGAUGCCUGUGUUAUGCACUGGUUUAGUUUAUACGGCUGCUACCUACUAGUUUGUUAAUUUAAAAAAAAAGACAGAUUUUGCUCUCUAGGCAAGAUGUUCUAGUGUAGAAAAAUAUAAAAAUAUAAUAAUCUCUUAAGUUUUUUUUUUA